CAGCAGCCACGGUAAUACGAGGGGGGCAAGCGUUGUUCGGAAUUAUUGGGCGUAAAGGGCGCGUAGGCGGUUUGGCAAGUUUCGUGUGAAAUCUUCGGGCUCAACUCGAAGUCUGCACGGAAAACUGCCGGGCUUGAGUAUGGGAGAGGUGAGUGGAAUUUCCGGUGUAGCGGUGAAAUGCGUAGAUAUCGGAAGGAACACCUGUGGCGAAAGCGGCUCACUGGACCAUAACUGACGCUGAGGCGCGAAAGCUAGGGGAGCAAACAGGAUUAGAUACCCCCGUAGUCCCUGUCUCUUAUAC
rnacentral:rRNA from 1 species